rnacentral:rRNA from 1 species
UGCCAGCCGCCGCGGUAAUACGUAGGGGCCAAACGUGGUCCGGAUUUAUUGUGCGUAAAGGGCUCGUAGGCGGUUCAACAAGUCGGUCGUGAACGCCCGGGGCUCAACUCCGGGACGCCGGUCGAUACUGUUGUGACUAGAGUUCGGUAGAGGUGAGUGGAAUUCUCAGUGUAGCGGUGGAAUGCGCAGAUAUCAGGAGGAACACCAACGGCGAAGGCAGCGCUCUGGGCCAAUAAGGAAGCGGAGGAGAGAACGCAUGGGGCGCAAACAGGAGUAGAUC